GAUGAACGCUGGCGGCGUGCCUAAUACAUGCAAGUCGAGCGAACAGACGAGGAGCUUGCUCCUCUGACGUUAGCGGCGGACGGGUGAGUAACACGUGGAUAACCUACCUAUAAGACUGGGAUAACUUCGGGAAACCGGAGCUAAUACCGGAUAACAUGUUGAACCGCAUGGUUCAACAGUGAAAGACGGUCUUGCUGUCACUUAUAGAUGGAUCCGCGCCGCAUUAGCUAGUUGGUAAGGUAACGGCUUACCAAGGCAACGAUGCGUAGCCGACCUGAGAGGGUGAUCGGCCACACUGGAACCGAGACACGGUCCAGACUCCUACGGGAGGCAGCAGUAGGGAAUCUUCCGCAAUGGGCGAAAGCCUGACGGAGCAACGCCGCGUGAGUGAAGAAGGUCUUCGGAUCGUAAAACUCUGUUAUUAGGGAAGAACAAAUGUGUAAGUAACUAUGCACGUCUUGACGGUACCUAAUCAGAAAGCCACGGCUAACUACGUG
rnacentral:rRNA from 1 species